UUGUGCCUUCUUUGUUCAGACUACUCACUUUUCUACACCAAAACCAAACAUCUCUUUUUCUCAGCUCCCUCUGAAUCCUUUUAACUCCAAUUUUCGUGCCUCACUCCUUCAGCUUCACCUUUUCUCUCUCUCUCUCUCUAACCUUAAGAACCCAUCGUUCUCUCGUUCUCACGUUCGUGGCGCAGACUUCGGUUCGAGCUCAGCAAGAAGAAGACAACACCGUCACCGUCGAAGACGAAGAAGGAGAAGGUUUCAAUGAAACCGAAGCGGGUCUUUUGGAAUGGGAACCCAGCGGCAAAUAUGCUGAGAGCGGCAAAGAAGUAGAAGAUGAUUUUGUUUGGUAUUAGGUUUUGCAUUUGAAUUUUCAUAUAAAACUGCUUAAGCUGGAGAAAUAUAUUUCUAAUUGUGUUUUGUGUAUUGAUUAUGGACAUCGUGUUUGAUUAAAUGUGAAAAUGGAAAAUUAUUUGAUGUUUUUACAUAUUAUGGGAUGAGCUUAAGCUGUUUGAUAAAAUGUCUAAGUCUAAUUUUAUUUUUCUAAUUUAGUGGCUCGUGUAUUAAAUUCAUCAAUGAGUUACUAUGUUUCAUCCUUUUGUAGUUUUAAAUUUUUAAUCUCAUACCAUUAAAUUGUAUUCUUUUUAACCUGUUUUUUCCCUCGAUAUUACGAAGAACAAGUGUCCAAAACUUAUUUCAUUAAUGAUAAUUUCGUAAAUGCAAAGAACACUGCAGAGGAAGUGAUAGGAAGUGAUAAUUUUGUAAAUAGUUUGAUAGGAAGUGAAACUGGAGCAGUGCCACCUUCAUCCUACACUCCACCUCAUUCCUGGACUGAUCAGCCUUCAAUGUAAUGUAUCCCAGCCCACCGCAUCAAACUAUGAUUUUGAUUUUUCUAACUCAGCAAUUUUUAGUUGGAUGGUUUCCUUUUUAACUUGCACUGGUUGAUUUAGUGAACCAAGGAAUGAUACUGCAAAUGAAACUAGUGGCUACAAUGUUGCAGAAGAAGUACGCCCUCCCUUACCAGUCAUAAGGGAAACUCUUUAUGAUGAUGCAAUGCUCUAUGGUUAGGUUUUCCUUUUCCUUAUUCCUUGGCUUGCCUUGGAAAUCUAAGGAUUAUGUUAUAGUAGAGAUGCAUAUUCAGUGUUUUCAAUAUUAUUGAACAUAUAUGUUCAUGCUUUUCAUUAGUUCUCAACCCUAAUAUCACUUCAGUUCAACUUCAAUGGCCCAUCCUUGUAGAAUUAAGUAUAGUGCUUUUAGAUGUAAUUCAUUAGUUCACUACUUUUCGGAUUACUUUAUCACUAUGCAUAUCCUGUGCUUUUUAUCAUUCUUUGAUUACAUGUUCAUAUAGUAAGUGAUUCUAGUCCGUUUGUGUGUGAGAGCCUUUGUGAACUGUGAAAUGAUGAACAACAGAGAGUAAGGUGAAAGAAAAGUGAAUUUGUUGUAGCUAGAUAGACAGUCUUGUGAUCCAUAUAUAACUGGAAAAAUUCAACUCUGUUCGAGUGGUGUGUACUUUUGAUGAUGACCCAUUAAGAGGCAUAAUGUUUGCAGAUUGGGAAGUUGCAAGAUAUUAAAAUAUCAUAAAUGAAAAAUAGGAAACUUACAUUGCAAACGGGCAGUAAUUGACAUGCAAGUAGGGUAUUCCUCUUUUAUUCUGGUUCGUCUAGCUGUUUCCUUGUAUUUGUUUUUCUGGGCACUUAAUCAAGAUAAGACUGUAAGCAAGUAUUAUAUUUGUUUUUGCAGUAUUACCAUUCAGCUCUUUCAUCAGUAUGUUAAUGUGCUUGUCCAUGCCGGCUACAAUGGCAUCAACAUGAAGUUUUCUGUUUGACUAAUAUGACUGCAUAGAAAAAGCUUUAGCAGGCAUAGCAGUUUCGUCAUUAGAUGCCUAAUGCAGUAUGAGGAGAUCUAAUUAUAUUACUCUAUGAUUUAUGGUGUAAUAGAAAAUGGGGUUUAGGGAUUGUAAUAGGGGGUUUAGGGAUUAAUAAUCAAUAAUUUCAGAAUUUAAGGUUUCGUUGAUUGGGUCUUGGGAAAUAUUAUCCCUAGCCAGAUUAUGGAUAUAUUUUCUAUUAUUAACUACGAUUACUUGAGUAUUAAGUUUGUGUUGCUUGUCUUAAUCAGAUUUAGGGUCCUUUGAGUUUCCUAUAUAAGACAUAUUAUCUUAUGGAUGGUAGCUCAUCAUUGAUUAUUUAAUAUCAAAUAUGGAAUUUUAAGCGUUUUUAAGAUUAUUCCUUGAUUCGUUAUUCCCAAUCUGCAUCAUAACCUAAAUAUAUUUCCAAUGGAUGUACACAACCCAAUAUUUGAUAUCUUUUAAACUGUACUCUUUUUCUUUUCUUUUUUCCUAAAACAAAAAAAAGGUGUAAAUUAUCUCAAACGGGUAUUGCAUAUUUUUCUUGGUUUUUCUAAUUUGAUUUUUCUAUUAUCUCUCAUUAUGCCUCUUGCUAUACCAAUUCAACUGUGUUUGCAGAUUUGUACUCAUAAUGAUGACCCAUAGUAAGUUAUUGCAUAUUCCCAAUUCAACUCUGUUUGCAGAUUUGUACUCUUUUUCUUUUCUUUUUUCCUAAAACAAAAAAAGGUGUAAAUUAUCUCAAACUGUAAAUUAAUACCAAUUUUUCUAAUUUGAUUUUUCUAUUAUCUCUCCGGGUGCCAAGCAAGGAUUAAUCCCUCUUUGCUAUACCACUGUCAAAAAAUAGCUCAGGUACUGUAACUGCACUGUUAAGGUGGCUCACGGCUCCACCUGAGAUGGAAAUGCCUGUGGUGGAAGUCAGAGAACAUGGAGUGUGGCUUCUAGCUAAGAGUGUAUCUUUGAGCGGUUUCGUGAAAUUCUUAAUAAAGGAGAAAUUGACAAACGAGUUCAGUUUCUGAUUGAAGGCUUAUUUGCAAUUGGAAAAGCGAAGUUUCAAGGCUGGCUGUUCGUCCUGAGCUGGACCUUGUGGAGCAGGAAGAUCAGUUAACUCAUGAAUUUGGUCAUCAGUUAUAUUCUCUUUGGCGGAAACAUAAUGUGUCAAUCACUACUUUACUGUAAUGUUGUCACUAAGUACCUUUUCAUGUCAGCAGCUAAAGAAAACUCAUCAAAGCCCCAGAUCUUUUUUGCAUCAUUACAGUAAAAAGAUAUGUACAAAGCUAGAUUGUCCCUAUAUGGACGUCUUAAACUGCCUAUUUAUCAAGUUUUUUUUCUUUUUGAAUGACUUAGUAAUGUUGUAUUCUUGUAGUGUACAGAUUCUUU